rnacentral:rRNA from 1 species
UACGGAGGAUGCGAGCGUUAUCCGGAUUUAUUGGGUUUAAAGGGUGCGUAGGCGGACUGUCAAGUCAGCGGUAAAAUUGAGAGGCUCAACCUCUUCCCGCCGUUGAAACUGGUGGUCUUGAGUGGAUGAGAAGUACGCGGAAUGCGUGGUGUAGCAGUGAAAUGCAUAGAUAUCACGCAGAACUCCGAUUGCGAAGGCAGCGUACCGGCAUCCAACUGACGCUGAGGCACGAAAGCGUGGGGAUCAAACAGG